CGUGAGACAGUUCGGUCCCUAUCUGCCGUGGGCGUUGGAAGAUUGAAGGGAGCUGCUCCUAGUACGAGAGGACCGGAGUGGACGAACCUCUGGUGUUCGGGUUGUGUCGCCAGACGCAUUGCCCGGUAGCUAAGUUCGGAAUUGAUAAGCGCUGAAAGCAUCUAAGCGCGAAGCGAGCCCUGAGAUGAGUCUUCCCUGAUACUUUAAGUAUCCUAAAGGGUUGUUCGAGACUAGAACGUUGAUAGGCAGGGUGUGUAAGCGUUGUGAGGCGUUGAGCUAACCUGUACUAAUUGCCCGUGAGGCUUAACCAUACAACACCCAAGGGGUUUUGUA
rnacentral:rRNA from 1 species